CUGUGCCAUCCGGUGGAUGGCUUGGCUCGAGAACCGAAGAAGGACGUGCCAAGCUGCGAUAAGCCCGGGGGAGGCGCAAGGAGCCCCUGAUCCCGGGAUCUCCUAAUGAGAACUCUCUCCCACAAAGGGAAGCCCGAUAAGGGCUGGGAACGCCCCGAGUUGAAACAUCUGCGUAGGGGCAGGAAAAGAAACCAAACUGGGAUGCUGCUAGUAACGGCGAGUGAACACAGCAAAUUAGCCUAAACCGAAUCCCCCCUAGUAAUAGGGGGGAGAUGUGGUGUUGCAGGACCGGUCUUUUAGCCUGGUUGUUGUGAGGCCGACUCCCCUGGAACGGGGGGCCGUAGAGGGUGAUAGCCCCGUGGCCGAAACAAUAACAAGGUGUGACCGGGAUCCUGAGUACCGUGGGCCGGAAACCUCGCGGGAAACCGGGGGACACAUUCCUCCAAGGCUGAACAUACCUCGAGACCGAUAGCGUAAUAGUAGAGUGAUCGAAAGCUGAAAAGCACCCCGAAAAGGGAGGUUAAAAGAGCCUGAAACCGGAUGGCUAUGGAGCGAUAGGGCAUGAAAGGACCUCCCCGCCGAAGGAAGCACCCGCGAGAGUGUUGUACGAGGCGGGGUGCCAGUGUCCUAUCGUACGUUUUGAAGAACGGGCCAAGGAGUGGGGCCCGGUGGCGAGGCUAACCCCACAGGGGGAGCCGUAGCGAAAGCGACAAGCCCGCAGGAAACGAGGGGCGGCGUAGGAUUUGCGCGGAGUCACCGGGCCACGACCCGGAACCAGGUGAUCUAGGCGUGGGCAGAUCGAAGCGUAACGAAAGUUACGUGGAGGAUCGUUAGCGGUACUGAUAUGCAAAUCGUUCGCGUGACCCGUGUCUAGGGGUGAAAGUCCAAUCGAACUUGGAAACAGCUGGUUCCUCCCGAAACAUGUCGAAGCAUGACCUCGCCAGAGGCGGGGGGCGAGGUAGAGCACCGAUUAGGGGAGCCGGAUGGGAGACCAUUCGUCCUCUUGUCGAACUCCAAACUCGUCCCCACCAGAGAAGGCGGGAAGUCCGGGCUGGGGGGUAAGCUUCUAGUCCGUAAGGGAGACAACCCAGACCCGGGUUAAGGCCCCAAAUUUGUCGGCUAAGUGUUAACACUGAAAGGCGUCCCAGGCCCUUGACAACUGGGAGGUGAGCUUAGAAGCAGCUAUCCUCUAAGAAAAGCGUAACAGCUUACCAGUCGAGGUCUGGGGCCCUGAAAAUGGACGGGGCUCAAGCCGACAGCCGAGACCCGGGAGUAUCGAGAGAUAACCUCGUAGGGAGGCACUCCGCGGGCGUGGAAGCAGGGCCGCGAGGUCCUGUGGAGCGCGCGGAGAAGAAAAUCUUGGCACUAGUAACAGCAUAGCACGGUGAGAAUCCGUGCCGCCGAAAGGGCUAGGUUUCCUCGGCCAUGAUCGUCAGCCGAGGGUUAGUCGGUCCUAAGGCCAACCCUAACCUAGUUGGCCGAAAGGGAGACAGGUUAAUAUUCCUGUACUCUUCCACACACAAACCAACGUUUCCUGCCAGCACUGGCAAGCCCGUCAGCUUGUUCAAACACCAUAGCACGUUGGAGGACCGUAACGGUGAGAAAACGUGUAAAGUGCGAUGACGUAAGCAGUGUCACACAGGGAACCCGUGAAAAGGGAGUGGAAGACCCGUACCGAGAUCCGACACAGGUGCCCCUAGUUAAGAAGACUAAGGCGUGUCGGCACACCCUGGCCAAGGGAAUUCGGCAAGUUAGCCCCGUAACCUAGGGAUAAGGGGUGCCUGCCACGAGGGUGGCAGGUCGCAGUGACAAGGGAGCGCUGACUGUCUAAUAACAACAUAGCUGAUCGCCAAACCGAAAGGUCUAGUACGAUCAGUGAAUCCUGCCCAGUGCAGGUACCUGAAAACCCCGUCCAAGGGGAAGAAGGGCCUGUCAACGGCGGGGGUGACUAUAACCCUCUUAAGGUAGCGUAGUACCUUGCCGCUUAAUUGGCGGCUUGCAUGAAUGGAUCAACGAGCGCUCCACUGUCCCUGGCCAGGCGCCGGUGAACAUUACAUCCUAGUGCAGAGUCUAGGGACCCCUAAUGGGAAGUGAAGACCCCGUGGAGCUUUACUGCAACCUGUCAUUGGGUUACGGCCGCCGGUGUGCAGCGUAGAUAGGACCCGUCUGAAGCCCCCUCGCCAGGGGGGGUGGAGGGGCUGUUGAGACACUAUCCUCCGGCGACUGCGACCCUAACCCUGGUGGGGACACUGAUAGGCGGGCAGUUUGGCUGGGGCGGCACGCCCUCGAAAAGGUAUCGAUGGCGCCCUAAGGUCAACUCAACCCGGUCAGAAACCGGGCGUGGAGUGUAAAGGCACAAGUUGGCUUGACACGAAGCCGCACAACAAGGCUUCGUGAGACGAAAGUCGGGCUUAACGAACCAAUGCGCCCUAAGUGUGAGGGCCAUUGAUGUCAGAAAAGCUACCCCGGGGAUAACAGAGUCGUCGCCGGCAAGAGUACAUAUCGACCCGGCGGCUUGCUACCUCGAUGUCGGUUCUUUCCAUCCUGGCCGUGCAGCAGCGGCCAAGGGUGAGGUUGUUCGCCUAUUAAAGGAGAUCGUGAGCUGGGUUUAGACCGUCGUGAGACAGGUCGGUUACUAUCUGUUAGGGGUGCAAAGGUGGCCUGAGGGGAAGUUGCUUUUAGUACGAGAGGAACAAGGCAACGGCGCCACUAGUCAACCGGUCGUCCGACAGGGCGGGCCGGGCAGCCACGCGCUAAGUUGUAAGGGCUGAAAGCAUCUAAGCCCGAAAAACACCCUGAAAAAAGGCCACAAAAGGGUCCCCGUAAAAGACGGGGUGGAUAGAGUUGGGGCGUACGCGCAAAGGCAACGAUGCGCUCAACCCGCAACCACUAACAACCCAAACAAGCC
rnacentral:rRNA from 1 species